AAUGUUUCCCUCUAAUAUCCGUAUGCCUCUCUCCAUUCAUAAAUUUUAUUCUCCACCGCCCCAUAAAAUUUGUUAUAUUCUGGUGGAUCCACCAUCUUCCAAACGGCACCUCCCUAUCCCAGCAAAAAUUUUUAG
ensembl:ncRNA F53B1.16 ncRNA